GCCGCGGCGGCGCCCAAGUCUGCGGAGCCGGAGCGCAUCCCCGGCAGGCGUCAGGGAGGCGCGGGCCGAGCCAGGUGCGCGCGGACUCACCCGGGUGCGCACGGCGAUGCGAGGACCGGUACAGCCACGCACGUUCAGACCUAGGAGCGCCUGACAAGUACGCCCCGACGGACCACCGUACAGUCACGGUCGCGCUGAGUGAAUCAGGUCCACAGAGGUGGGUCCACACACCGUUGGAGAGGUCAUCAUUUCACUCUUGCCCAUUACCGAUGGGGAAACUGAGGUCCCAGAGCCACUUACUGCCUGAGUCAGGAUCACCAUGCAACACGUCUUUCCGUGGCUGGAGUAAAGGAACAAGAGGCAGCCUUAUUCAUCUUGCGGAAGACCCAACGCUACACGCAGUGGCUGGUAUUUCAAAUGAUCAAACCAGGGUUCAAAGCAUCUAAAGCAGAUGACAUGAUCCACUAACUCCCCUGAAGUGAGACGGAAUAGGGACGGAUGUCAAGUGAAAAGACUGGUCAUGAGAAAGGUUUUGGCUAAAGAUUCCAUAUAAUUCCACGUGAAAUGGCUGCCCCAGACUAACGUGAUCUCAGGCUGCAUUUUUAGAAGUAUAGAGUUGAGGAUAAGGGAGGUGAUUGCUGGAGGGUUUCAGGUUGCCCUGCUUUUGGGGGGACAGGAAGAGGCUAGAGUCCAGUGUCCAUGGAGGGCAAAGGACUGUGAAGCACAGGGGACACUGCCCUUGGAGAGGAGAAGACCCAAGGGCGGAGGCAGGCAGGAGCGGAAGGGUCACGCCGCCUGGCUCCAGCGCAGAACUGAGAACCCACGUGGUAUCUGGCGGGAGCAGGUGCAAGUCAGGUGAGGAAAGGAUCCUGCUUUGAGCCCUCAGAUACUCUCAACCAAAACCCUGGGCCCUUCUGAUAAAAAGUCCUCCUUGGCGCUAAAUACACAUCUUAGAGCCAACAAAUAGGUAACCCAUAGUUCCCCCAUUCUAAGGUGUACUUAAAAGUGAAUAUUACUGAAACUGGGACUGUCUUACAAUCAAUGUGUAUAUUGAAUGCAUCCUUCUUUUCUGAAAGUUGUUACUUAAGCAUGUUUGAAUCAGCAAAGUGUACAGUUGGGAAAGGUUUUUUUUGACAAUCUAUUUCAUCAGACUCUUGUCCCGUUAGAAUGCAUGUCUUGAAUUAAAAGAAAUCUACCUAAAUAAAUAACACAUUAAAAAAAAAAUCCA
rnacentral:lncRNA from 1 species